UACGGGGGGGGUAAGCGUUGUUCGGAAUUACUGGGCGUAAAGGGCUCGUAGGCGGCCAACUAAGUCAGACGUGAAAUCCCUCAGCUUAACUGGGGAACUGCGUCUGAUACUGGAUGGCUUGGAUUCGGGAGAGGAAUGCGGAAUUCCAGGUGUAGCGGUGAAAUGCGUAGAUAUCUGGAGGAACACCGGUGGCGAAGGCGGCAUUCUGGACCGAUAUUGACGCUGAGGAGCGAAGGCUAGGGGAGCAAACGGG
rnacentral:rRNA from 1 species